UGAGAGAGCGUACGAAAACUCUGCCGUCUCGAUACGAUCCACAGCCGCGGCCCCAACAAUCACGCAUGAAAAAAGGAAGCAGAUCCAAUUGAAUCCCCUCACCCUCAAUGGAGCGCUGCACCUCCGGCUUGUGGCAUCAGCCUUCUCUCCCUCCUCACCAGAUUUCGUCUUCGCCAUCGAGAGGUGUUAAGGGAGGCGCCCGCGAUGCGAUGACAGCGGGGAGAAGCGACGCAUUGGCGGACAGCCGGACAACAGCGCAUGUGCAGCACAUAGCAGCGGCGGCUGUAAGGCCAUGGCGGACGAGCAGGUGGUGUGGCUGAGGGCGGGAGAAGAGAGGCUGGGCAGCGCCGGAGGCGGAGCUCGGCCGCGAGCGUGGCACGCACAGGGCAGUGCCGCGCGAGCGCCCUGCAGCCGCAUCACCGAGCGGCAGCCCCGCCGCCACACUACUACACGAGGGCAGCGCCACCGCAUCACCGAGCCACAGCCCGGCCGUUCUCGGCCGGAGGUCGCCGACGCCUUUCCCAACUUUUGGGUUGGCACCUUGAUCGGACGCCUCCCUUUUGGCUAACAUGUUUGUAUGAAAUUGAACAUUUUAGUAACAUUCUGCUGUGUGUUCACAACUUCACAUUAAUUCAGAAAUUGUAUGUAUGAAUCGACUGCAUCCGAUGUUGUGCUUCUCCUGUUGCCUUGAAAGGAUUGCUGGAUGGAAAGAUGUUUUUGCUUUUAGGAUUUCUGGUGUGUGUACGACCCUCUAAGUAACUCUUUUUCAUCUCAUGCAGCAGGAGAGGCUUAGAGGAAGGCGCUGCAGCGUGGAUGCACAUGGGAUGCUGCAGAUACAUGUGCCAAAGAGGAGGAGAGUAUGAAAAGAUAAAGGAGUCAAGAAGGACCGAAGGAGAAAUCAUAUGAACAUGAACCUGAUGAUGACCCAUAGUUGGAUGUAUGUGAGAGGAUCCACAAAUUGUCAAGCACACAUGCUACAACCAUCAACUUCUGGGAUAUUAACUAUCUAACAAGGCAAUGUUCACAAAAUGGUUUCCAUCAUCUAUGCGAUUCUGUUUCAAUUAUAGCUGUUUGUUUCUCCAAUGACUAUGUCUACUGUUACGCACGAUAAGAAAUCUAUUCAGGCUAUGUCACUGCAUCCAAAAGACUUGGUACCCAUGAGUUCGUUUUCCUAUUAUGUACAUUGCUGGAAGCCUGGAACCUUUCAAAAAAUUAUAACCUUACAA